CCCCUGUGCACCCAGGAAGAGGAACCAGGACUGAGGCUGAGAACCCCUGUGCACCCAGGAAGAGGAACCAGGACUGAGGCUGAGAACCCCUGUGCACUCAGGAAGAGGAACCAGGACUGAGGCUGAGAACCCCUGUGCACCCAGGAAGAGGAACCAGGACUGAGGCUGAGAACCCCUGUGCACCCAGGAAGAGGAACCAGGACUGAGGUUGAGAACCCCUGUGCACCCAGGAAGAGGAACCAGGACUGAGGCUGAGAACCCCUGUGCACCCAGGAAGAGGAACCAGGACUGAGGCUGAGAACCCCUGUGUACCCAGGAAGAGGAACCAGGACUGAGGUUGAGAACCCCUGUGCACCCAGGAAGAGGAACCAGGACUGAGGCUGAGAACCCCUGUGCACCCAGGAAGAGGAACCAGGACUGAGGCUGAGAACCCCUGUGCACCCAGGAAGAGGAACCAGGACUGAGGUUGAGAACCCCUGUGUACCCAGGAAGAGGAACCAGGACUGAGGCUGAGAACCCCUGUGCACCCAGGAAGAGGAACCAGGACUGAGGCUGAGAACCCCUGUGCACCCAGGAAGAGGAACCAGGACUGAGGCUGAGAACCCCUGUGCACCCAGGAAGAGGAACCAGGACUGAGGCUGAGAACCCCUGUGCACCCAGGAAGAGGAACCAGGACUGAGGCUGAGAACCCCUGUGCACCCAGGAAGAGGAACCAGGACUGAGGGUGAGAACCCCUGUGCACCCAGGAAGAGGAACCAGGACUGAGGGUGAGAACCCCUGUGCACCCAGGAAGAGGAACCAGGACUGAGGUUGAGAACUCCUGUGGUAGAAGAGGGUGUUGUUUACUCACAAGAGACA